rnacentral:lncRNA from 1 species
CAGCUUUGGAGUUUUCAGGAUGCUUGUCAGGGUGACAUUCCAGAGCCCUGACCUUAAAAUUCUGCCAGGAUUUGUUCAACCGAAGAGAGUUCAUCACAUCCCAGUAAUGUGUAGUGUCUUCACUGUCUUCCAGCUUAGACCACGGUAACCAAGUCUGGAACCAAGGCAGGCUUUUCCUGGCAUGGAGUGGACGACCGGUUGAGGAGAGGGUCCUAGGGAGAAGUUGCAGCUCUCACCAAGGUCCAGACGAGGCGGUAGAGUUUGAGAGAGGUGAGGAUCAUGCAGAGGCUCAGGAAAUGAUGACAAGUGAUGGGAUGUCGGGUCCUCCUCAGGCUCUCCAGCUCGAGUGCAUCCUUGUUUCAGCGGCUGUCUCUUUUUAUUUAAUUAUUUUUAAAUUAGGGACAGGGCCUCACUAAGGUGCCCAGGCUGACCUGGACCUUGCUAUGUUCCUCCCUCAGCCUCCCCGUCUCUGGGAUUACAGUGUGUGCCACUGGCAUAGCAUGGUGGCCAACGCUUUGACUUGUUCAGACCUUCUCAGUCUGCACAGUCAUCUAGGGUGCAUCUACCCCACCUGUUUUUCUCUGACCCUCCCUCAGGUCAGGCUUGUGCUGCAGUCUGCUGGUUUCCCUAGCUCCCUUACUGUUUCCUCUUGCAGAUUUUUCCCCUGAUAAAAUCGUGUGUGUUUAAUUCCAUCUUGGCAUCAGCUUCUUAGAGGACCCAGACUAAUACAAGGCAGCAGGAGUGUCCAAAAAACACAAUAGUUGGCAAGGUGGAGCUGUGCUGCCUUGCCUCUUGCCUGGCAGAUGAAGAGGAUGCUGUCUCCAGUUGGAAGUGGGGCAUGGCACAGGGUGGUAGGCUAAUUGCUAAAGAUUCCAUUAAUGCUGACCUGGGGAAAGGUCACCGCUGGAGGAGAUGCUGAGGAAGAGGCAGGUGUGAAAUUUCAGGCCUUUCAGGAAUAUGAAGGAGAAAUGUUUAUAGAGAGUGAAGUUGGCUGGUUGCAGCUGAGCUGUAGUGAUACUUUACAGAAGGUUACUGCAAGACUGAGGGCUGUUAACGAUCGAUUAGUGAGUGGCCAAGUAUGAGAUUUGGGGAAUCUCAAUGGGAGCUACAAAAAGUGUUUUUGAACAGUAGGCUGAAGACCUGGUUGCUGGUCUAGAUCCACAGUCCCUUGUCCACAGUUGUCUGCAUUGUCCAACCACAGGGACUUCGGUGAACAAGGGUGUGUUGGUGAUGGACACCUGGAGUCCUGAAAUAUGGUGGGGUGUCAGGAUGGAUGCCUUUGGCAACAUUGUCCCUGGCUCUCCCUGGGGUUUCAGAGGUGGCCCAUCUCUCCUAAUAAGGGCUAUAACUUCUGCUGUGCUGGCAGAGGUGCCCUUCUCCAAACUUGCCAUCUGUCCCACCUCCUCUCCUGGCUACCAGCCUGAUAAGACAGAAAUAAAUACUGAAUACUUUGAGUUGCAAGAUAGACUUAGCAAGAGUCAGAGAAGUGUGCUUGGGAUCAGCAUCUAAGGGUACUCAAUAAAGUUGCCAGAUUGGAAGACUGGCUAAGGAAGAAGUCACCAAUCGAGAGCAUCUUCUCAGGACAAAAGCUUUAAUACCCUACCCAAAACUCCAGAGAAUGGGGACAACUUGCUGCCAGGCUUUUGGAAGUCUGAAAAAAAUAAUGGCUAAGCAGGGCUUGGAUGCACAAGCCAGCAAUGCCCAGCCUGAGGCAGGAGGGUCCCAAGGUCAAGGCCAGCCUUGACAUCUUAAAUGAGGCUAUCUCAAAAUAAAAAGUAAAACAGACUGGGGAUAUAGCUUAGAGGUUGAGCACCCCUGGGUUUUUGUCCCUGUACCAAUAGAAGAAGGAGGACAAGGAGGAAACAGUAUGGCUAGCUCUUGGAGGGGGUAACACCAACUUGCCCCUGAUAAAUGCCCCAGGAAGAUAUCUAAUGUAAGGUCAGAAGGAGACACUCUGGAGAACCUUGUUCCUCCCAAAGCCUCCAGGAGGCAGCUUGCCAAGGUCACUGUGAAUGAGUAGGUGACAGAGGUAUCAGCAACCCUAAGAAAUCUGGUGGGGAUUCUCUUCCCCCAGAGCCAAGGGCAGGGAAGGAAGGGUGUGGGGUCAUUGAAGUCUCUGGGAAGGUGGGGCCCCCAAUAGCAGAGCAAAAGAUUGGAAGGAUCUGGGUGUGUCUGCACACACCUUAAUCCCAGCAACUUGGGAGGCUGAGGCAGAAGGAUCAUAAAUUCAAGGCCAGCCUCAGCAAUUUAGUGAGGCCCUAAGAAACUUAGUGAGGUCCUAAGCAACUUACUGAAAUCUUGUCUUAAAAUAAAAAAUAAAAGCCAGGUGCAGUGGAGCAUACCUGUAAUCCCAGCGGCUCAGGAGGCUGAAGCAGGAGGAUUGCAAGUUCAAAGCCAGCCUCAGCAACUUAGCAAGGCCCUAAGCAACUUAAUGAGACCUUGUCUUGAAAUGAAAAAAGGGCUGGGAUGUGACUCAGUGGUUGAGUGACCCUGGGUUCAAUCUCAGUACCAAAGGGAAAAAAAAAGAAAGACAAAGAUAUAAAUAUUUCUCUAGACCUGGAUAUAUACACACACUUAAUUUUUUCCUGGUAUCUUCUCAUUUCUCCAGCUCUGAAGACUUGACCAAUUGAAGAUCCUACAACCUGGUUAGGGCGAGGACUCCAGCGGCUGGAUCAGCCCCUUCUGCUGUCCUGCAAGGACAGCUGCUGCGCCAGCCCCCGUGCCUGCAGUCCUAGGUCUCCAGUCCCAUCUGUUAGGUGUGCAGCUCACGAACUUUCCUGGAGGCCUGUUGCUCUUGCUAGUUUCUCAAAGUGUGUCCUACUGAAAAUAUUUCCCAAACGUGAAUUUCUACACUAGAAAACCCAGGCCUCCUUGUCAUAAGAACAGCUGAGAUUUCAUUACAGAGCAGAACUGACUGGGGCGACCUGGCUGGUAAGGAGUGGUGGUGCUUCUCUGUGGUCCCAACUACUUGGAGGCUGAAGUGAGAAGACUGCUAGAGUCCAGGAGUUCAAGAGCAGCCUGGGCAAAUAAUGAGAUGCCUGUCUCAAGAAAGGAAAGAGGCAAGCGAGGAAGGAGGGAACUGCAGCCUCCCAAUGACUUCAGCAGCACACCAUAAAUGUGAGCAAAAGCCAGUCUCCUGAUUCUGCUAGCCCCAUUUGGCCUCCAACACCUGCAGUCACCUCAACCCAUCAUCCCAGUCUAACCUGCCACGCUUGGCCACUGGUCUCUGGACAAACCAGUGGACUAAAGGUAACCACACCCCGAGGGGGCGGGGUACCUUCAGCUGUGCCAUCUCGCUUUCCUCUGUUGGCAGCCACCAGGCCGGGUCCAGGGCAAGGCGGAGGUGCCCAGGGCAGGGCAUUGGAAGAGGCACUCCUUUGCUAGGGUUGCUCUCACUCCUCCGUCUGAGAGCCGCCGCCCCCCUGCUCUUUGCAUCUGAGGCAUCUAUCUCCCUUGUCUCAUGCCAGUCCCAGGCUCGGGUCCCAGCUAGGGUGCGUUCUUCUGGUGUGAUAGAAAGAAUACCAGCCCCAGGAAGGGAGGAAGGAGAAGUAGAUAAUUUGUAGGGUGACCCCGGACUACUUGGGGAAGGGAAAGAAGUCAUACAGAAAAGUGAGACAGCAGUGAUUUGGUCUGUGGACAGGGGAAGAGCCGAGGCCUGCAGGGGUCUGGGAUAGGACCCACUAACAGGAUGAUGCCAGGGUAUGGUGAGCUGGCCAGGGCCCUGGCAGCUGGCAGGGCAACUAACUCUUGGCUUUAUCUCAGCCUGUUUUCACAGAGUCACAUUAGAAAGUGCAUCCUGGUUUGAGAAGGAGAAAGAAAAAUCAGAAAAUCUUUAAAUUAAACUACAAAUUCUGGGAUUGGGGAUGUAGCUCAGUGGUAGGGCACUUGCCUAACAUAAGCGAACAAACCAAACCUAUCCUCCCACACCUGUACUCCCAGCAGAAGAAUCAUAAGGUCAAGGUGACCCUGUCUCAAAAUAAAAAAGGACUGGGAGGCAUAGCUCAGUGGUGGAACACCCCUGGGUUCAUCUCCAGUACACACCUCCAAACCCAAAGUCACCUAUAAAUCCUCUGUACUAAGUUUUGCUUGUUGCUAUUUGUUUGUUUUUGUUUUUCAGUACUGGGAUCAAACCCAGGGCCUCACCCGUGCUGGGUGGGGUAGUAUCGCUACCUCUGAGCUAUCUCCCAGCCCUUGUGUAUUUAUUUGGUACUGGGAUUGAACCCAGGGGCAUUCUACCACUAAGCUGCAAUUCUGUCCUUUUUUAUGAGACAGGAUCUUGCUUAGUUGCUGAGGCUAGCUUCAAAUUUGUGAUCCUUCUGCCUCAAUCUCUCAAGUCACUGGAAUUAUAGGUAACUUAGGGCUCUUGAUAUCCACCAUCUUUUUUGAGGGAGAAUGUGUAUUGAAUUUAGCAACUUGACUUUGCAUAGUGUUUUUUAGGUUACAAAGUUCUCUGAUAUUGCUUUUUAAAAAACAUUUAUUUUUUAGUUGUAGGUGGACACAAUACCUUUUUAUUUUACUUUAUUUUUUUAAAGACAGAGAGAAUUUUUUAAAAUUUAUAUUUUAGUUUUCGAUGAACACAACAUCUUUAUUUUAUUUUUAUGUGGUGCUGAGGAUCGAACCCAGCGCAUGCCAGGCGAGCACGUUACCGCUUGAGCCACAUCCCCAGCCCCACCUUUUUAUUUUAUUUUUAUGUGGUGUUGAGGAUCAAACCCACUGCCUCACGCAUGCUAGGUGAGAGUGCUACCCCCGAGCCACAACCCAGCCCCAUCUGAUAUUGCUUUUUUAAGGCUCAAAAAUUUCUCUGUGCUUUUGCCCAUUUCUCUUCCCAAUUCCUAAAUAUCUCUUUCCCUUCCUAGUCUGCUGGUUGACAACCAUUUUUAAAGCAGUUUUAUUGAGAUAUAAAUGAUAGGCCAUACAAUUCAUGAAUUUAAGUUGUGCAAUUCAGUGGUUUUUACUAUAUUCAAAGUUGCAUGACCUUCGCAAUAAUCACUUUUUGAAUAUUUCCUUCACCCCUAAAAGAAAUUCUGAGCUGGGUGUGGUGGCAUAUGCCUGUAAUCCCAGUCACUUAGGAGGCUGAGGCAGGAGGAUUGCAGGUUUGAAGCCAGCCUUAGCAAUUUAGCAAGGCUGUAAGCGACCUAGUGAGUCCCUUUCUCAAAAUAAAAAAUCAGAAAGGUCUUGGGAUGUGACUCAGAGUGGUACUAAAAAAUAAAAUACAAAAAUUCUGGAUCCAUUAAUAGUCACUUCCUAUCUGCCCCUAGCCUCUACCCCUGACUGUGGGCAGCCACUGAUGGCUUCUGCAUCUGUAGAUCUGCCUGUUCUGGGCUUUCUGUUUUUUGCCCUGGCUGGAACCUGGUACAUCUAGGCAAAGGCUCCACAGUAUAGCCUUUUUAUUGACUUUUUUUCUUUCCUUUGGUGGUGCUGAGGAUUGAACCCAGGGCCUUGUGCAUGAAAGGCAAGCGCUCUAUCAACUGAGCUAUAUCCCCAGCCCCUUUAUUAACGGUUUUGAGACAGAUUCUUGCUAAUAAGUUGAACUUGGAUCCUCCUGCUGAAACAGACUGAAUCUGCCCCUCCUCCCCACUUCGAACAGACUCCUCCUGCUGAGAAACACUGAAGGGCUAAGGCCCCAUGGCCAGGUGCCCAGGAAGUGAGCAGAGAUAGCCCCUGCCCUGUCUUAACAGGGCAACUGAAUCUACCUAUGUGUGACACUUGCUUCUGUGGGGCCAGUGGGGAGAAGCAAACUGAAUUCUCCCAGUUUGGUCAAACUGCAUAAAGUUCAUUUUUCCUUUUUCCAACUUGUUCUUAUUUCUGACACAGGCAAGCCAUCCAGGAUCCAGGCAGGACCCCUGGGCCAGACUGCAGGUGACACUGCCUCAGCCUCUUGGGUAGCUGGGAUUAUAGGCAUGUGCCAUCAUGCCCAGUUUCUGUUUUCUGUUUUUUUCAGCACUGGGGACUGAAUCCCGGGGUGCUUCACCACUGAACUACAUCCCCACCCCACCCCUUUUUAAAAUUUUAUUAUUAUUUUUUUAGUUGGAGUUGGACACAAUACUUUCUUUUAUUUAUUUAUUUUUAUGUGGUGCUGAGGAUUGAACUCAGUCUCUCCCAGGUGCCAGAUAAGUGCUCCACCACUGCUUUUCGUUAACAAGCACUUCAUUUCCAAGAGCUUUUCGUUUUUUAAUUUUGAGACACUGUCUAAAUUGCCGAGGCUGGCUCUGAAUUUGCGAUCCUUCCUCAGUCUCCCUAGUUGUUGGGAUUAUAGGUGAGUGCCGCUGUGACCUGCUCUUUUUUUUUUUUUUUUG